AGACCCGAAACCCGGUGAUCUAGCCAUGGGCAGGUUGAAGGUUGGGUAACACUAACUGGAGGACCGAACCGACUAAUGUUGAAAAAUUAGCGGAUGACCUGUGGCUGGGGGUGAAAGGCCAAUCAAACCGGGAGAUAGCUGGUUCUCCCCGAAAGCUAUUUAGGUAGCGCCUCGUGAAUUCAUCUCCGGGGGUAGAGCACUGUUUCGGCUAGGGGGCCAUCCCGGCUUACCAACCCGAUGCAAACUGCGAAUACCGGAGAAUGUUAUCACGGGAGACACACGGCGGGUGCUAACGUCCGUCGUGAAGAGGGAAACAACCCAGACCGCCAGCUAAGGUCCCAAAGUCAUGGUUAAGUGGGAAACGAUGUGGGAAGGCCCAGACAGCCAGGAUGUUGGCUUAGAAGCAGCCAUCAUUUAAAGAAAGCGUAAUAGCUCACUGGUCGAGUCGGCCUGCGCGGAAGAUGUAACGGGGCUAAACCAUGCACCGAAGCUGCGGCAGCGACACUAUGUGUUGUUGGGUAGGGGAGCGUUCUGUAAGCCUGUGAAGGUGUGUCGUGAGGCAUGCUGGAGGUAUCAGAAGUGCGAAUGCUGACAUAAGUAACGAUAAAGCGGGUGAAAAGCCCGCUCGCCGGAAGACCAAGGGUUCCUGUCCAACGUUAAUCGGGGCAGGGUGAGUCGACCCCUAAGGCGAGGCCGAAAGGCGUAGUCGAUGGGAAACGGGUUAAUAUUCCCGUACUUGGUGUUACUGCGAAGGGGGGACGGAGAAGGCUAUGUUGGCCGGGCGACGGUUGUCCCGGUUUAAGCGUGUAGGUGUGUGUUCCAGGUAAAUCCGGUUCACUUUAACACUGAGGCGUGACGACGAGGCACUACGGUGCUGAAGCAACAAAUGCCCUGCUUCCAGGAAAAGCCUCUAAGCAUCAGGUAACAUCAAAUCGUACCCCAAACCGACACAGGUGGUCAGGUAGAGAAUACCAAGGCGCUUGAGAGAACUCGGGUGAAGGAACUAGGCAAAAUGGUGCCGUAACUUCGGGAGAAGGCACGCUGACACGUAGGUGAAGUGAUUUACUCAUGGAGCUGAAGUCAGUCGAAGAUACCAGCUGGCUGCAACUGUUUAUUAAAAACACAGCACUGUGCAAACACGAAAGUGGACGUAUACGGUGUGACGCCUGCCCGGUGCCGGAAGGUUAAUUGAUGGGGUCAGCGCAAGCGAAGCUCCUGAUCGAAGCCCCGGUAAACGGCGGCCGUAACUAUAACGGUCCUAAGGUAGCGAAAUUCCUUGUCGGGUAAGUUCCGACCUGCACGAAUGGCGUAAUGAUGGCCAGGCUGUCUCCACCCGAGACUCAGUGAAAUUGAACUCGCUGUGAAGAUGCAGUGUACCCGCGGCAAGACGGAAAGACCCCGUGAACCUUUACUAUAGCUUGACACUGAACAUUGAGCCUUGAUGUGUAGGAUAGGUGGGAGGCUUUGAAGUGUGGACGCCAGUCUGCAUGGAGCCGACCUUGAAAUACCACCCUUUAAUGUUUGAUGUUCUAACGUGGACCCGUGAUCCGGGUUGCGGACAGUGUCUGGUGGGUAGUUUGACUGGGGCGGUCUCCUCCUAAAGAGUAACGGAGGAGCACGAAGGUUGGCUAAUCCUGGUCGGACAUCAGGAGGUUAGUGCAAUGGCAUAAGCCAGCUUGACUGCGAGCGUGACGGCGCGAGCAGGUGCGAAAGCAGGUCAUAGUGAUCCGGUGGUUCUGAAUGGAAGGGCCAUCGCUCAACGGAUAAAAGGUACUCCGGGGAUAACAGGCUGAUACCGCCCAAGAGUUCAUAUCGACGGCGGUGUUUGGCACCUCGAUGUCGGCUCAUCACAUCCUGGGGCUGAAGUAGGUCCCAAGGGUAUGGCUGUUCGCCAUUUAAAGUGGUACGCGAGCUGGGUUUAGAACGUCGUGAGACAGUUCGGUCCCUAUCUGCCGUGGGCGCUGGAGAACUGAGGGGGGCUGCUCCUAGUACGAGAGGACCGGAGUGGACGCAUCACUGGUGUUCGGGUUGUCAUGCCAAUGGCACUGCCCGGUAGCUAAAUGCGGAAGAGAUAAGUGCUGAAAGCAUCUAAGCACGAAACUUGCCCCGAGAUGAGUUCUCCCUGAGACUUAAAGUCUCCUGAAGGAACGUUGAAGACGACGACGUUGAUAGGCCGGGUGUGUAAGCGCAGCGAUGCGUUGAGCUAACCGGUACUAAUGAACCGUGAGGCUUAACCUU
rnacentral:rRNA from 1 species